rnacentral:rRNA from 1 species
UACAGAGGUCCCAAGCGUUGUUCGGAUUCAUUGGGCGUAAAGGGUGCGUAGGCGGCGCGGUAAGUCGGGUGUGAAAUCUCGGGGCUUAACUCCGAAACUGCAUUCGAUACUGCCGUGCUUGAGGACUGGAGAGGAGACUGGAAUUUACGGUGUAGCGGUGAAAUGCGUAGAUAUCGUAAGGAAGACCAGUGGCGAAGGCGGGGUCUCUGGACAGUUCCUGACGCUGAGGCACGAAGGCUAGGGGGAGCAAACGGGG